rnacentral:lncRNA from 1 species
GACUGACUAAUUUCUGUCUUAGAAUUCUGUAAUGCCUGGAUAAUAGGAUAAUGCUACUUAGACCUUGAGGAUAAUAAGCAGAAACAUGGGUGGAUAUCUGGAGACUGAAGGAAAGUAUGAGAGAAAUGGAAAUGCAGAAAUGUUGUGGAAUGAGGAAGGAUGAUUUCAAGUCACCAUCAGUAAUCUUAAAUUAGAGUGGAAUGGUAUGUACAGGGAUGAACUAUGCUGAAGUCAGAAGCAGCUGCUGCUGAAUUCCAUCAGGAGAAAAGAACUUUCAGCAAAGUGGUAGGACUCAGCCUCCUUGGCAAGGCCUCUUCCAAGGGUUGCUGACUAUUCCAACUGCUAUCAAAAUUGAAGAAAAAGAUUUCUGGAUUCAUUGCUCUCAUGUAAAACCAUUAUCAUCUAAUAACACUGAUU